UAAUAUAUGGAUGGCCCCAUUUUACAAAUAUUUUCACACUCAAUCGGCACUUCUUCCACGCUGGAGGAAAAACCUUUCGCUCCUAAACUACUAGCAAAAUCCCAAUCCCACUUUCUCAAAACACCCCCCGCGCCAUCUACCCCCAAAUUUACACAACUUUUUGACAUUAAAUAUUACAAACAAAAUCAGCUUUUCAUCAGUGUUUUUUAAAUUAAAAAUAAAAACCCAAGUUUCCACGCCCAAAAACCUCCCCAAAAUUCCCCUAAUUCCCCAAAAAAACGCCCCAAAAAUGAAGCCCACCACCAGCACCACAACCACUUCCACCACCUCAAAAAACCUCUAUUUCGUCCGCCUGGAAUCCAAAACAUUUUGGCCCGGAGAGCUCGUCGAUCCUUCGAAAUACACGCAGGAAAUGCUCGAAAUUGUCGAGAAAAAGGCCAAACGGAAGGAAUCUUUUCUCAAGUUUGUCACCUUUCCCUCGGACGAGGAUUAUCACCAGGUAACCAAGGAAACGGACCUGAUCCCCUACGAUUCCGAUAAAAAGAGGAAUUAAUCAAGAUCACCACGGUAAAACUCCUAAAACUCCACCCCUCGCAACUCCCCAACUACAAAUCCGACGUGGUUGCCAUGGAAACGAUCUUAGCAACGCGAUCCCCGGCCUUAUCCUCUGUUUGGUUCGAUAAGAUCACGGCUGACGAAGCCAAACCAGAGGUUGCUACGCCCACUAAAAAAAUAAUCGUUUCCAGGGUGACCACCACACCCACUAAAACCACCACACCCCCUGUUACACCCACAAAAACCACACCCACCACAUCCCCCUCGGAAAAGAAGCGGUUCAGCUGUGAAAAAUGUAAAAUAUCCUUUGACCGGAUCAACACUUAUAAUUUGCACAAGUCGAGUUGUAAAGUGUCAGUUUCCAUGGCAACCAAGAGAAAAUCUGCGAUAGUAAAGAAGAUUUCCCCCGUUUUGAAGAAGGAAAACUUGAAAAAGAAGAGGUUAGAAGAGAUGAAGAA